rnacentral:rRNA from 1 species
GUGGGGAAUCUUGCGCAAUGGGCGAAAGCCUGACGCAGCAACGCCGCGUGCGGGAUGACGGCCUUCAAGGUUGUAAACCGCUUUCAGCAGGGACGAAAAUGACGGUACCUGCAGAAGAAGCCCCGGCUAACUACGUGCCAGCAGCCGCGGUAAUACGUAGGGGGCAAGCGUUGUCCGGAUUCAUUGGGCGUAAAGAGCUCGGAGGCGGUUCAGUAAGUCGGGUGUGAAAGCUCCGAGCUCAACUCGGAGAGGCCACCCGAUACUGCUGUGACGUGAGUACAGUAGGGGAGCGUGGAAUUCCUGGUGUAGCGGUGAAAUGCGCAGAUAUCAGGAGGAACACCAGCGGCGAAGGCGGCGCUCUGGGCUGUAACUGACGCUGAGGAGCGAAAGUGUGGGUAGCAAACAGGAUUAGAAACCCGGGUAGUCC